AGAGUUUGAUCCUGGCUCAGGAUGAACGCUAGCGGCAGGCCUAAUACAUGCAAGUCGAGGGGUAUUGCAGCAAUGUGAGAGACCGGCGCACGGGUGCGUAACGCGUAUGAAAGGUGUCCAAAUCACUGGGAUAGCCCUCGGAAACGGGGAUUAAUACCGGAUGGUCUCUUAGAGUGGCAUCACUUUAAGAGUAAAGCUCAGGCGGAUUUGGGUCCUCAUGCGUACGAUUAGCUAGUUGGCGGGGUAAUGGCCCACCAAGGCGACGAUCGUUAGGGGUCCUGAGAGGGAGAUCCCCCACACUGGUACUGAGACACGGGCCAGACUCCUACGGGAGGCAGCAGUAGGGAAUAUUGGGCAAUGGGCGCAAGCCUGACCCAGCCAUGCCGCGUGCAGGAAGAAUGCCCUCUGGGUUGUAAACUGCUUUUGGGAGGGGACAAAAAGCCAAUGCGUUGGUAAUUGAGUGUACCUCCAGAAUAAGCACCGGCUAACUCCGUGCCAGCAGCCGCGGUAAUACGGAGGGUGCAAGCGUUGUCCGGAUUUAUUGGGUUUAAAGGGUGCGUAGGCGGCCAAAUAAGUCGGAGGUGAAACCCACAGGCUUAACCUGUGGAGUGCCUUCGAUACUGUGUGGCUUGGGUUAUCUCUAGGCGGGCGGAAUGGAAGGUGUAGCGGUGAAAUGCAUAGAUAUCUACCAGAACGCCGAUAGCGAAGGCAGCUCGCUGGGGAUAUACCGACGCUGAGGCACGAUAGCGUGGGUAGCAAACAGGAUUAGAUACCCUGGUAGUCCAUGCCGUAAACGUUGGGCACUAGGUGUGGGGAGAACUCAACUCUCUCCGCGCCGUAGCUAACGCAUCAAGUGCCCCGCCUGGGGAGUACGGCCGCAAGGCUAAAACUCAAAGGAAUUGACGGGGGCCCGCACAAGCGGCGGAGCAUGUUGCUUAAUUCGAGGCAACGCGAAGAACCUUACCUGGGUUGAACUACGUGGGAAAAGCCGCAGAGAUGCGGUGUCCUUCGGGGUCCACGAUAGGUGGUGCAUGGCUGUCGUCAGCUCGUGUCGUGAGAUGUUGGGUUAAGUCCCGCAACGAGCGCAACCCUUGUCCUAUGUUGCCAGCGGGUAAAGCCGGGGACUCGUAGGAGACUGCGGGGUCAACUCGGAGGAAGGUGGGGACGACGUCAAGUCAUCAUGCCCCUUAUGUCCAGGGCUGCAAACAUGCUACAAUGGCCGGUACAAAGGGCAGCUAAACCGCGAGGUCAAGCGAAUCCCAAAAAGCCGGUCUCAGUUCGGAUUGAAGUCUGCAACUCGACUUCAUGAAGCUGGAGUCGCUAGUAAUCCCGGAUCAGCAACGCCGGGGUGAAUUCGUUCCCGGGCCUUGUACACACCGCCCGUCACACGCCGAAAGUCGAUAACACCCGAAGUCAGUGGCCCAACCCUUUAGGGAGGGAGCUGCCGAAGGUGGGAUUGGCGAUUGGGGUGAAGUCGUAACAAGGUA
rnacentral:rRNA from 1 species